rnacentral:lncRNA from 1 species
UAAAUACUAAUUUUCACAGCGUUGGCCACUCCAACGUCUGGUUAACCUAUUCCUUAGGUUGACCAACCUACCCUUUUAGUCUCCUAAUUAGAUUUUCCCCAUCUUCUCUCUACUAAAGUUUCCAUCUCAAACCUAAUAGUUUGUAGAUUAAUAACCCUUGUUUGCCUGUAAUACCUAAAAUUUUACCUAGAAUAAAGGACAAUGGCAAUGAAUCUACA